GCGCCAGUAGCUCAGCUGGAUAGAGCAACGGACUUCUAAUCCGUAGGUCGCAGGUUCGAGUCCUGCCUGGCGUA
rnacentral:tRNA from 1 species